UGUGACCGUGUACGUCACUUCCGCAAAAGCGCAAUUCAUUUAGGGUAGUUAGCGCCAUUUCUGUGGUGAAGAGACAGCAGCAACGAAGAAAAGAAAACUAACAGAGAGCAGACGUGUUCUAGUUGCUUCUUUGGAAAUAAUGGGACACUGGUGCUGCGUCAAAGGAUGCAAUAGUAAUUCUAAACAGAAAACAGCAGAUGGGGCCUUACGGUUUUUCGUAUUCCCCACUUGGAAAAAAAAUACGGACCGCAGACAGAGGACUUAACAAAGAGGCGUCGGGCUCCGUGGGUCGCUGCUGUAAGAAGGAAAGACAUCACGUUUCAUGAAAUAUCUCCUCAUGUUCGUGUUUGCUCUCGGCAUUUUCACAAAGGUCAACCCGCAUAUGAGAUGAUGGAGACUGACCCAGACUGGGCUCCAUCCCUGCAUCUGGGCCACACUGACAUCAGACCAACAGACACAGAACGCUCUUUAAGACGUGGUUAUCGGGAACAGCUGAAAAAGAAUGCCCUGCAAGCAACUGAAACGGGGCUCCAUCAGACUGAUGAAAGGACAGGAAGGACAGACAGAAUGUAACCUGUGUGUGCUCAGGUGUGCAGAGAUGAACCGUCUUUUGGAAGAAAACAGAGAGCUGCGGCGUGAACUUGAUGAGCUACAGAUCUCUGAUUGCUUCUUUGGAGACAGUAAUGAAAAAGUCAAGUACUAUACGGGUCUACCAAACUUGGCAACCUUUAUGGCCUCUCAUGUCUGCUCAAAAUAAAAUUCUCAGUCCAUUUCAAAUGCUUCUGUUAACCUUCAUGCGUCUGAGAUUGGAUCUGCCCUCACAACACCUUGCUUAUCUCUUCCGUGUUUCACCAAAGACAGUGUACAGAACAUUCAAUGAAAUGCUGUCAUUUUUAUAUGCAAAUCUAAAGCGUGCAAUUGUGUGGCCAGAUAGACACCUUGCACAAAAUUAUGCCUCAUCAGUUUGUGGAUGCCUUUGGACAUAGAGUCACAGUGAUUAUUGACUGUUUUGAAAUUUUCACAGAGAAACCAGCUAAUAAAUGAAUGCAAGAUCAA